rnacentral:rRNA from 1 species
CGAAAGAUUGAUCCAGUUACUUAUUAGGAUGAUAUAUAAAUAAUUAUAUAUAAUAUAUUUAUUAUAAAUAAUAAUAAUAAUAUAUAUAUAAAUUGAUUAAAAAUAAAAUCCAUAAAUAAUUAAAAUAAUGAUAUUAAUUACUAUAUAAAAAAUAUAUAGAUAUAAAAAGUAAUAAUUUCUUAUUAUUUUCUUUUUAUAUUUUAAUAGUCCUGACUAAUAUUUGUGCCAGCAGUCGCGGUAACACAAAGAGGGCGAGCGUUAAUCAUAAUGGUUUAAAGGAUCCGUAGAAUGAAUUAUAGUAUAAUUUAGAGUUAAUAUAAUUAAUUAAAGAAUUAUAAUAGUAAAGAUGAAAUAAUAAUAAUAAUUAUAAGACUAAUAUAUGUGAAAAUAUUAAUUAAUAAUUAACUGACAUUGAGGGAUUAAGACUAGAGUAGCGAAACGGAUUCGAUACCCGUGUAGUUCUAGUAGUAAACUAUGAAUACAAUUAUUUAUAAUAUAUAAAUAAUAAAUGAAAAUGAAAGUAUUCCACCUGAAGAGUACGUUAGCAAUAAUGAAACUCAAAACAAUAGACGGUUACAGACUUAAGCAGUGGAGCAU